rnacentral:rRNA from 1 species
UACGUAGGGUGCGAGCGUUAAUCGGAAUUACUGGGCGUAAAGCGUGCGCAGGCGGUUUGUUAAGUCCGCUGUGAAAGCCCCGGGCUCAACCUGGGAAUGGCGGUGGAAACUGGCGAGCUAGAGUGUGUCAGAGGGGGGUGGAAUUCCACGUGUAGCAGGUGAAAUGCGUAGAGAUGUGGAAGGAACACCAAUGGCGAAGGCAGCCCC